rnacentral:rRNA from 1 species
GAGCGGAGUGAUGGUGCUUGCACUAUCACUUAGCGGCGGACGGGUGAGUAAUGCUUAGGAAUCUGCCUAUUAGUGGGGGACAACAUUUCGAAAGGAAUGCUAAUACCGCAUACGUCCUACGGGAGAAAGCAGGGGAUCUUCGGACCUUGCGCUAAUAGAUGAGCCUAAGUCGGAUUAGCUAGUUGGUGGGGUAAAGGCCUACCAAGGCGACGAUCUGUAGCGGGUCUGAGAGGAUGAUCCGCCACACUGGGACUGAGACACGGCCCAGACUCCUACGGGAGGCAGCAGUGGGGAAUAUUGGACAAUGGGCGCAAGCCUGAUCCAGCCAUGCCGCGUGUGUGAAGAAGGCCUUAUGGUUGUAAAGCACUUUAAGCGAGGAGGAGGCUACUGAAGUUAAUACCUUCAGAUAGUGGACGUUACUCGCAGAAUAAGCACCGGCUAACUCUGUGCCAGCAGCCGCGGUAAUACAGAGGGUGCAAGCGUUAAUCGGAUUUACUGGGCGUAAAGCGCGCGUAGGCGGCUAAUUAAGUCAAAUGUGAAAUCCCCGAGCUUAACUUGGGAAUUGCAUUCGAUACUGGUUAGCUAGAGUGUGGGAGAGGAUGGUAGAAUUCCAGGUGUAGCGGUGAAAUGCGUAGAGAUCUGGAGGAAUACCGAUGGCGAAGGCAGCCA